rnacentral:rRNA from 1 species
ACUCCUACGGGAGGCAGCAGUUUCGAAUCAUUCACGAUGGGCGAAAGCCUGAUGGUGCGACGCCGCGUGAGGGAUGAAGGUCUUCGGAUUGUAAACCUCUGUCACUGGGGAAGAAAUGUUGAAACCUAAUACGUUUCAAUUUGACUUAACCCGGAGAGGAAGCAGUGGCUAACUCUGUGCCAGCAGCCGCGGUAAUACAGAGACUGCAAGCGUUAUUCGGAUUCACUGGGCGUAAAGGGUGCGCAGGCGGCCAAAUGUGUCAGGUGUGAAAUCCCGGGGCUCAACCCCGGAACUGCGCCUGAAACUAUUUGGCUAGAGCAUUGGAGAGGGAAGUGGAAUUCACGGUGCAGCAGUGAAAUGCGUAGAUAUCGUGAGGAACACCAGAGGCGAAGGCGACUUCCUGGACAAUAGCUGACGCUCAGGCACGAAAGCGUGGGGAGCCAAAGGGAUUAGAUACCCCUGUAGUCCACGCCCUAAACGGUGCAUACUAGGUCUUGGCGGAUUCGACCCCGUCAGGGCCCAAGCUAACGCGUUAAGUAUGCCGCCUGAGGACUACGGCCGCAAGGCUAAAACUCAAAGGAAUUGACGGGGGCCCGCACAAGC